GAUGGAAGAACGCAGCGAAAUGCGAUACGUAAUGUGAAUUGCAGAUUUCAGUGAAUCAUCGAAUCUUUGAACGCACAUUGCGCCCGCCAGUAUUCUGGCGGGCAUGCCUGUUCGAGCGUCAUUUCAACCAUCAAGCGCCUCGCUUGUGUUGGGGCCCUGCGGCUGCCGCAGGCCCCUAAAUCCAGUGGCGGGCUCGUCGUCGUACCGAGUGCAGUAAACAUCCUCGCUCAGGGAACCCGACGGGUGCCGGCCGUGAAACCCCCCCUCCUCAAGGUUGACCUCGGAUCAGGUAGGAAUACCCGCUGAACUUAAGCAUAUCAAUAAGCGGAGGA
rnacentral:misc_RNA from 1 species